UACGUAGGGUGCGAGCGUUGUCCGGAAUUAUUGGGCGUAAAGAGCUUGUAGGUGGUUUGUCGCGUCUGCUGUGAAAAUCCGAGGCUCAACCUCGGACUUGCAGUGGGUACGGGCAGACUAGAGUGUGGUAGGGGAGACUGGAAUUCCUGGUGUAGCGGUGGAAUGCGCAGAUAUCAGGAGGAACACCGAUGGCGAAGGCAGGUCUCUGGGCAGUAACUGACGCUGGAGGAGCGAAAGCGUGGGGAGCGAACAGG
rnacentral:rRNA from 1 species